CCACUUUAAUAUUAACAUAAUCCACAACAAACUUAUCAAAAUCCACUAAAAACAUAUGUAGUCCACUACUAACACAACUCAAAAAAUAACAAACAAAAAAAACCGUAAAUUCAUUAUUCAAAAUCCACUAUUUGAAAUGUAAAUCACUACUAUGUCCACGAAAAAGUGCAAGACGAGUACACCACCACCAACAAUGCCGACGAGGAUCACUAAAUGUAUCUGAACAAGAACAAAUUUAAUUAGCAAAUGAAAACCAAUUUCCAAAAGUAAACCUUGGUCUCAUACCAUCGUUGGUGGGAACAAAAUAUGAGAAGCUUCAUAAGCAAAUUAUUUUCAACCUACGUAUAUUGCAUAAAUCCGUUGAAACGAAAGAUGAACGAGGAACAAUAAAAACCACUAUGUAUAAACAACUAUAUAAACAUGAAAACCAUUAUGUAUAAACAAUUAUGUAAACAUGAAAACCACUAUGUAUAAAGUAUAAACAACUAUAUAAACAUGAAAACCACUUUGUAUACUUGUCGAAGUUCACCAUAAAUAUAUCGGUAACCACUCUAUAUACUUAUCGAAAUCCACUAUCAAAUUAACGUAAUCCAGUAUACAAUUUAAUUAAUUAAUGAACAAGCAUAGUAGUGUAUAGCAAACACUAGAGAGAAGCUUGGAAACAAGUAGCCAUACAGACACACAAUCCUAUGUGUGCCUACAGACCAGGACAAAAUUUAGAACAAGCAUGCAUCUUCACUUCCUUAAAUAUUCAUCUACAUAUAUGCAUGUGUAUCUAUCUCUAUCUCUAUCUCCAUCUCUAUCUAUAUAUAUAUGUACAAUUUUUUUAUUUUUUUGGGUAUGUCUGUAUUAACUUCGUUUACAACAAAAAUACAAUACAACGAAAGAACAAUAACAAACAAAUAAAAAAAAGAAUUAUAUUCAGAACACCAUGAGAUGCAGUAAAAAGCUAAAAUCAUUAUUAGAAUAAAGCCGAACACCAUAUAAACUGAAGAGGGGAUAAAACUACAAAAUUAUAAAGCAAAUUAAAAAAUCAAGUUGGGAGAUAAUAUAAUAAUCAUCUUGUUCAAAAAUAUUAAUUUAUAAGAAUUAAUUUAUAAAAAAUUACCUUUUUUUUCUACCACCGCUUAGAUAUCCAUCGUUUACGGUGAAGAGAGAGAAAUAGGGAUGGAGGCUGAGGCGGCGCCGAAUGGGGGCAGGGGCGGCGCCGGGUGCACGGAGGCUGGGGCGGCACCGGUGGGGAU
rnacentral:lncRNA from 1 species